rnacentral:rRNA from 1 species
UGGGGAAUUUUGGACAAUGGGCGCAAGCCUGAUCCAGCCAUGCCGCGUGAGUGAAGAGGGCCUUCGGGUUGUAAAGCUCUUUCGGCGGGGACGAAACGGUCCGUGCUAAUACCACGGACUACUGACGGUACCCGCAGAAGAAGCACCGGCUAACUACGUGCCAGCAGCCGCGGUAAUACGUAGGGUGCAGGCGUUAAUCGGAAUUACUGGGCGUAAAGCGUGCGCAGGCGGUUUGUUAAGACAGGUGUGAAAUCCCCGGGCUUAACCUGGGAACUGCGCUUGUAACUGGCAGACUGGAGUGUGGCAGAGGGGGGUGGAAUUCCAAGUGUAGCAGUGAAAUGCGUAGAUAUUUGGAGGAACACCGAUGGCGAAGGCAGCCCCCUGGGCUAACACUGACGCUCAUGCACGAAAGCGUGGGGAGCAAACAGGAUUAGAUACCCUGGUAGUCCACGCCCUAAACGAUGUCAACUGGUUGUCGGGGAAGCAAUUCCUUGGUAACGAAGCUAACGCG